CCUACGGGAGGCAGCAGUGAGGAAUAUUGGUCAAUGGGCGUAAGCCUGAACCAGCCAAGUCGCGUGAGGGAUGACGGUUCUAUGGAUCGUAAACCUCUUUUAUAAGGGAAUAAAGUGCGGGACGUGUCCCGUUUUGUAUGUACCUUAUGAAUAAGGAUCGGCUAACUCCGUGCCAGCAGCCGCGGUAAUACGGAGGAUCCGAGCGUUAUCCGGAUUUAUUGGGUUUAAAGGGUGCGUAGGCGGACUUUUAAGUUAGCGGUGAAAGUCUGUGGCUCAACCUUAGAAUUGCCGUUGAUAAGGGGAGGCUUGAGAAUGUUUGAGGCAGGCGGAAUGCGUGGUGUAGCGGUGAAAUGCUGAGAGAGCACACAGAACCCCGAUUGCGAAGGCAGCCUGCCAAGCCAUGACUGACGCUGAUGCACGAAAGCGUGGGGAGCAAACAGGAUUAGAUACCCUUGUAGUC
rnacentral:rRNA from 1 species